UAGGGGAAUCUUCCACAAUGGGCGCAAGCCUGAUGGAGCAACACCGCGUGAGUGAAGAAGGGUUUCGGCUCGUAAAGCUCUGUUGUUAAAGAAGAACACGUAUGAGAGUAACUGUUCAUACGUUGACGGUAUUUAACCAGAAAGUCACGGCUAAAUACGUGCCAC
rnacentral:rRNA from 1 species